ACCUUAUCAAGAGAGGCGGAGGGACUUGGCCCGAUGAAGCCCGGCAACCGGUUGAUGCAACACGGUGCCAAUUCCAGCAGAGCAGGCAGACAGCUCUGGCAGAUAAGAA
rnacentral:ncRNA from 2 species